rnacentral:rRNA from 1 species
AUGUCAUGUCACUUCUACCGCCCUUUCUUUCCUCCCGUCCUUUCACGCAUGAAGAUCGUCGUAUGUAUGUUCGACUUCGGUUGCCGGUGCAAUAGAAUUGGCGGGAGUAUAUUAUGGAGGAAUAGUCACCUGGGCAAACCAACCCUCCUCCAAGAAGAAUUGUGCUAUGCCCCGCCCAAUAUCCCUAUAGAGCGAAAGAGCUGCCUGGUGAUCCCUAGCUUGCAGCACAUCCGGUCGUUAACUCCUCGCUAA